GAAAAAAAUAAGAACAAAUGGAAAACGCUCUUACUUAUUUGUUUCUUGUUUUCC
rnacentral:ribozyme from 1 species